rnacentral:rRNA from 1 species
GGACGAACGCUGGCGGCGUGCUUAACACAUGCAAGUCGAACGGAAAGGCCCUGCUUUUGUGGGGUGCUCGAGUGGCGAACGGGUGAGUAACACGUGAGUAACCUGCCCUUGACUUUGGGAUAACUUCAGGAAACUGGGGCUAAUACCGGAUAGGAGCUCCUGCUGCAUGGUGGGGGUUGGAAAGUUUCGGCGGUUGGGGAUGGACUCGCGGCCUAUCAGCUUGUUGGUGGGGUAGUGGCUUACCAAGGCUUUGACGGGUAGCCGGCCUGAGAGGGUGACCGGCCACAUUGGGACUGAGAUACGGCCCAGACUCCUACGGGAGGCAGCAGUGGGGAAUAUUGCACAAUGGGCGGAAGCCUGAUGCAGCAACACCGCGUGCGGGAUGACGGCCUUCGGGUUGUAAACCGCUUUCGCCUGUGACGAAGCGUGAGUGACGGUAAUGGGUAAAGAAGCGCCGGCUAACUACGUG